rnacentral:rRNA from 1 species
UGAGGAACAUGACCUUCGGCGGGGGAUAGCCGGCCCAACGGCCGGGUAAUACCGCGUACGACCUUUCGGGGACAUCCCGGAUGGUGAAAGCAGCAAUGCGCCGAUGGAGUGCCUCGCGGCCUAUCAGCUAGUUGGUGAGGUAACGCUCACCAAGGCAACGGACGGGUAGCUGGUCUGAGAGGAUGGCCAGCCACGUAUUGGGGACUGAGAGUACCGGCCAGACUCCGUACGGGAGGNACGACG